GACGAACGCUGGCGGCGUGCUUAACACAUGCAAGUCGAACGGAAAGGCCCUGCUUUUGUGGGGUGCUCGAGUGGCGAACGGGUGAGUAACACGUGAGUAACCUGCCCUUGACUUUGGGAUAACUUCAGGAAACUGGGGCUAAUACCGGAUAGGAGCUCCUGCUGCAUGGUGGGGGUUGGAAAGUUUCGGCGGUUGGGGAUGGACUCGCGGCUUAUCAGCUUGUUGGUGGGGUAGUGGCUUACCAAGGGUUUGACGGGUAGCCGGCCUGAGAGGGUGCCCGGCCACAUUGGGACUGAGAUACGGCACAGACUCCUACGGGAGGCAGCAGUGGGGAAUAUUGCACAAUGGGCGGAAGCCUGAUGCAGCAACGCCGCGUGCGGGAUGACGGCCUUCGGGUUGUAAACCGCUUUCGCCUGUGACGAAGCGUGAGUGACGGUAAUGGGUAAAGAAGCACCGGCUAACUACGUG
rnacentral:rRNA from 1 species